GAUGAACGCUGGCGGCGUGCUUAACACAUGCAAGUCGAACGGUGAAGGCGGAGCUUGCUCUGCUGGAUCAGUGGCGAACGGGUGAGUAACACGUGAGCAAUCUGCCCCUGACUCUGGGAUAAGCGCUGGAAACGGCGUCUAAUACUGGAUACGAGCUGCGAAGGCAUCUUCAGCAGCUGGAAAGAAUUUCGGUCAGGGAUGAGCUCGCGGCCUAUCAGCUUGUUGGUGAGGUAAUGGCUGACCAAGGCGUCGACGGGUAGCCGGCCUGGGAGGGUGACCGGCCACAAUGGGACUGAGACACGGCCCAGACUCCUACGGGAGGCAGCAGGGGGGAAUAUUGCACAAUGGGCGAAAGCCUGAUGCAGCAACGCCGCGUGAGGGACGACGGCCUUCGGGUUGUAAACCUCUUUUAGCAGGGAAGAAGCGAAAGUGACGGUACCUGCAGAAAAAGCGCCGGCUAACUACGUG
rnacentral:rRNA from 1 species